ACCCGCUGAAUUUAAGCAUAUCAAUAAGCGGAGGAAAAGAAACCAACAGGGAUUGCCCUAGUAACGGCGAGUGAAGCGGCAACAGCUCAAAUUUGAAAUCUGGCUCUUUUAGAGUCCGAGUUGUAAUUUGCAGAGGGCGCUUUGGCUUUGGCAGCGGUCCAAGUUCCUUGGAACAGGACGUCACAGAGGGUGAGAAUCCCGUACGUGGUCGCUGGCUAUUGCCGUGUAAAGCCCCUUCGACGAGUCGAGUUGUUUGGGAAUGCAGCUCUAAAUGGGAGGUACAUUUCUUCUAAAGCUAAAUAUUGGCCAGAGACCGAUAGCGCACAAGUAGAGUGAUCGAAAGAUGAAAAGCACUUUGGAAAGAGAGUCAAACAGCACGUGAAAUUGUUGAAAGGGAAGCGCUUGCAGCCAGACUUGCUUACAGUUGCUCAUCCGGGUUUUUACCCGGUGCACUCUUCUGUAGGCAGGCCAGCAUCAGUUUGGGCGGUAGGAUAAAGGUCUCUGUCACGUACCUCCUUUCGGGGAGGCCUUAUAGGGGAGACGACAUACUACCAGCCUGGACUGAGGUCCGCGCAUCUGCUAGGAUGCUGGCGUAAUGGCUGUAAGCGGCCCGUCUUGAAACACGGACCAAGGAG
rnacentral:rRNA from 1 species